rnacentral:tRNA from 3 species
GCGGGGGUGGCCGAGUCAGGUCAAAGGCGCAGGGCUUAGGACCCUGUGGCGUAGGCCUGCGUGGGUUCAAAUCCCACCCCCCGCACCA